UUAAGCGACUAAGCGUACACGGUGGAUGCCCUGGCAGUCAGAGGCGAUGAAGGACGUGCUAAUCUGCGAAAAGCGUCGGUAAGGUGAUAUGAACCGUUAUAGCCGGCGAUGUCCGAAUGGGGAAACCCAGUGCAAUUCGUUGCACUAUCGUUUGAUGAAUACAUAGUCAAACGAGGCGAACCGGGGGAACUGAAACAUCUAAGUACCCCGAGGAAAAGAAAUCAACCGAGAUUCCCCCAGUAGCGGCGAGCGAACGGGGAGCAGCCCGGAGUCUGAAUCAGCUUGUGUGUUAGUGGAAGCGUCUGGAAAGUCGCAGGGUACAGGGUGAUACUCCCGUACACUAAAGCACACAGGUUGUGAACUCGAAGAGUAGGGCGGGACACGUGGUAUCCUGUCUGAAUAUGGGGGGACCAUCCUCCAAGGCUAAAUACUCCUGACUGACCGAUAGUGAACCAGUACCGUGAGGGAAAGGCGAAAAGAACCCCGGCGAGGGGAGUGAAAAAGAACCUGAAACCGUGUACGUACAAGCAGUAGGAGCCUCUUUAUGGGGUGACUGCGUACCUUUUGUAUAAUGGGUCAGCGACUUAUAUUCUGUAGCAAGGUUAACCGUAUAGGGGAGCCGCAGGGAAACCGAGUCUUAACUGGGCGUUAAGUUGCAGGGUAUAGACCCGAAACCCGGUGAUCUAGCCAUGGGCAGGUUGAAGGUUGGGUAACACUAACUGGAGGACCGAACCGACUAAUGUUGAAAAAUUAGCGGAUGACUUGUGGCUGGGGGUGAAAGGCCAAUCAAACCGGGAGAUAGCUGGUUCUCCCCGAAAGCUAUUUAGGUAGCGCCUCGUGAACUCAUCUUCGGGGGUAGAGCACUGUUUCGGCUAGGGGGUCAUCCCGACUUACCAACCCGAUGCAAACUACGAAUACCGAAGAAUGUUAUCACGGGAGACACACGGCGGGUGCUAACGUCCGUCGUGAAGAGGGAAACAACCCAGACCGCCAGCUAAGGUCCCAAAGUCAUGGUUAAGUGGGAAACGAUGUGGGAAGGCCCAGACAGCCAGGAUGUUGGCUUAGAAGCAGCCAUCAUUUAAAGAAAGCGUAAUAGCUCACUGGUCGAGUCGGCCUGCGCGGAAGAUGUAACGGGGCUAAACCAUGCACCGAAGCUGCGGCAGCGACACUAUGUGUUGUUGGGUAGGGGAGCGUUCUGUAAGCCGUUGAAGGUGGCCUGUGAGGGUUGCUGGAGGUAUCAGAAGUGCGAAUGCUGACAUAAGUAACGAUAAUGCGGGUGAAAAACCCGCACGCCGGAAGACCAAGGGUUCCUGUCCAACGUUAAUCGGGGCAGGGUGAGUCGACCCCUAAGGCGAGGCCGAAAGGCGUAGUCGAUGGGAAACAGGUUAAUAUUCCUGUACUCGGUGUUACUGCGAAGGGGGGACGGAGAAGGCUAUGUUGGCCGGGCGACGGUUGUCCCGGUUUAAGCAUGUAGGCGGAUGUUCCAGGUAAAUCCGGAACGUUAUUAACGCUGAGGUGUGAUGACGAGGCACUACGGUGCUGAAGUGACAAAUGCCCUGCUUCCAGGAAAAGCCUCUAAGCAUCAGGUAACAUCAAAUCGUACCCCAAACCGACACAGGUGGUCAGGUAGAGAAUACCAAGGCGCUUGAGAGAACUCGGGUGAAGGAACUAGGCAAAAUGGUGCCGUAACUUCGGGAGAAGGCACGCUGAUAUGUAGGUGAAGUGGUUUACCCAUGGAGCUGAAAUCAGUCGAAGAUACCAGCUGGCUGCAACUGUUUAUUAAAAACACAGCACUGUGCAAACACGAAAGUGGACGUAUACGGUGUGACGCCUGCCCGGUGCCGGAAGGUUAAUUGAUGGGGUUAUCCGUAAGGAGAAGCUCUUGAUCGAAGCCCCGGUAAACGGCGGCCGUAACUAUAACGGUCCUAAGGUAGCGAAAUUCCUUGUCGGGU
rnacentral:rRNA from 1 species